rnacentral:rRNA from 1 species
ACAUGCAAGUCGAACGAACUUAACCUAUAGUUUACUAUUGGAGCGGUUAGUGGCGGACUGGUGAGUAACGCGUAAGCAAUCUGCCUAUCAGAGGGGAAUAACAGUGAGAAAUCAUUGCUAAUACCGCAUAAGCUGUGAGUAUCACAUGAUACAAAUAGAAAAGGAGUAAUCCGCUGAUAGAUGAGCUUGCGUCUGAUUAGUUAGUUGGUGAGGUAACGGCUCACCAAGACGAUGAUCAGUAGCCGGACUGAGAGGUUGAACGGCCACAUUGGGACUGAGAUACGGCCCAGACUCCUACGGGAGGCAGCAGUCGGGAAUAUUGCGCAAUGGAGGAAACUCUGACGCAGUGACGCCGCGUGCAGGAAGAAGGUUUUCGGAUUGUAAACUGCUUUAGGCAGGGAAGAAACAAAUGACAGUACCUGUAGAAUAAGCUCCGGCUAACCACGUGCCAGCAGCCGCGGUAAUACGUAGGGAGCGAGCGUUAUCCGGAUUUAUUGGGUGUAAAGGGUGCGUAGACGGGCGAACAAGUUAGUUGUGAAAUACCUCGGCUUAACUGAGGAACUGCAACUAAAACUAUUAGUCUUGAGUACUGGAGGGAAAGCGGAAUUCCUAGUGUAGCGGUGAAAUGCGUAGAUAUUAGGAAGAACACCGGUGGCGAAGGCGGCUUUCUGGACAGUAACUGACGUUGAGGCACGAAAGUGUGGGGAGCAAACAGGAUUAGAUACCCUGGUAGUCCACACCGUAAACGAUGGAUACUAGGUGUAGGCGUGUAUAAAGCGUCUGUGCCGUCGCAAACGCAGUAAGUAUCCCACCUGGGGAGUACGGCCGCAAGGUUGCAACUCAAAGGAAUUGACGGA